rnacentral:lncRNA from 1 species
UGUACUAGAAGAAGAGGGGUUAAUAUGAAAAUCAGAGAGAGCUGAGGCUGUAUCAAGAAGCCAGUACAGGUUGAGUGGAUUUUUGCACAGGGGAAGCAUCUGUAGACAAGAUGAAACAACCACUGUAUAAGCAAAGACCUGAAAGAGUUUUGUAAGGAAUAGCAGUCCAUUAUAUCAACGGAGCAAUCCUGUAAUCCUUGUGAAGAAGCAAUUAAUCUCCAGUGAUGUAAGGAGUGAAAUACUGCAGCCUGG